UACGAAGGGUGCAAGCGUUACUCGGAAUUACUGGGCGUAAAGCGUGCGUAGGUGGUGAGUUAAGUCUGUCGUGAAAGCCCCGGGCUCAACCUGGGAAUGGCGAUGGAUACUGGCUCGCUAGAGUGCGGUAGAGGAGAGUGGAAUUUCCGGUGUAGCAGUGAAAUGCGUAGAGAUCGGGAGGAACAUCAGUUGCGAAGGCGGCUCUCUGGACCAGCACUGACACUGAGGCACGAAAGCGUGGGGAGGAAACAGG
rnacentral:rRNA from 1 species